rnacentral:rRNA from 1 species
UACGAAGGGGACUAGCGUUGUUCGGAAUCACUGGGCGUAAAGCGCACGUAGGCGGAUAUGUGAGUCAGGGGUGAAAUCCCGGGGCUCAACCUCGGAACUGCCUUUGAUACAGCAUAUCUUGAGUCCGAUAGAGGUGGGUGGAAUUCCUAGUGUAGAGGUGAAAUUCGUAGAUAUUAGGAAGAACACCGGUGGCGAAGGCGGCCCACUGGAUCGGUACUGACGCUGAGGUGCGAAAGCGUGGGGAGCAAACAGG